UAUAAACAGUGUAUACCAGGCGCCUGAAGACCUCAAAGGCUUCAUUCCUGAUUUUCAGUCUCCCUGAGUCCUGUUUGGAAAAGUUGUUUUUUCUGUACUCCAGCCAGCAUGGCUAAGAUCAUGCAGGGUACAUACUAGAUUGCAGAAUUAAUGCGGUUUGACACCACUUUGAUUGCUAUGGCUGAAUACUGUGGAAUCCUGAGAGUUCUAGUUUAGCAAGGCACCAGCACUCUUUGGCAGAGAAACUGUGACCAAGAGUGCUGCAGAAUUUGAAGAGACACAAAUGGAGGAGGAAAGGGAGAAACGUGUCAAGAAGAAGGCACAUCGAGCCAACCCUGACUAGGAUUGCCUUCCACCUGGAAAUUGAUGUCCUCACUGUGGAAGAGCAUUCAGUCAAGAAUAGGCCUCUGCAGUUACCUAUGGACCCACCACUUGGAAGAGAAUCAUACUCAGAAGACACAACA